rnacentral:sRNA from 14 species
UACAUGGGGACCUCUUGGGGACACGUCACCGAACAUGACUUCCAGACGUUCCGUGUGGCCUGUCAUGUUUAUCCCUGUGUCUUUUAC